rnacentral:rRNA from 1 species
UACGGAGGCAGCAGUGGGGAAUAUUGCACAAUGGGCGAAAGCCUGAUGCAGCUAUGCCGCGUGUAUGAAGAAGGCCUUAGGGUUGUAAAGUACUUUCAUCGGGGAGGAAAAACAAAACUAAUAAUUUUAUUUCUUGACGUUACCCGAAAAAGAAGCACCGGCUAACUCCGUGCCAGCAGCCGCGGUAAUACGGAGGGUGCUAGCGUUAAUCAGAAUUACUGGGCGUAAAGAGCACGUAGGUGGUUUUUUUAAGUCAGAUGUGAAAUCCCUGGGCUUAACCUAGGAACUGCAUUUUUGAAAACUGAAAUACUAGAGUAUCGUAGAGGGAGGUAGAAUUCUAGGUGUAGCGGUGAAAAUGCGUAGAUAUCUGGAGGAAUACCUGUGGCGAAAAGCGGCCUCCUAAACGAAUACUGACACUGAGGUGCGAAAAGCGUGGGGAGCAAAACAGGGAUUAGAUACC